GUCGAACGAUGAAGCCUGGCUUGCUGGGUGGAUUAGUGGCGAACGGGUGAGUAACACGUGAGCAACCUGCCCCUGACUCUGGGAUAAGCGCUGGAAACGGCGUCUAAUACUGGAUAUGUCCCAUCACCGCAUGGUGUGUGGGUGGAAAGAUUUUUCGGUUGGGGAUGGGCUCGCGGCCUAUCAGCUUGUUGGUGAGGUAAUGGCUCACCAAGGCGUCGACGGGUAGCCGGCCUGAGAGGGUGACCGGCCACACUGGGACUGAGACACGGCCCAGACUCCUACGGGAGGCAGCAGUGGGGAAUAUUGGACAAUGGGCGAAAGCCUGAUCCAGCCAUGCCGCGUGUGUGAAGAAGGUCUUCGGAUUGUAAAGCACUUUAAGUUGGGAGGAAGGGCAGUAAAUUAAUACUUUGCUGUUUUGACGUUACCGACAGAAUAGGCACCGGCUAACUCUGUGCCAGCAGCCGCGGUAAU
rnacentral:rRNA from 1 species